GACGAACGCUGGCGGCGUGCUUAACACAUGCAAGUCGAACGGAAAGGCCCUGCUUUUGUGGGGUGCUCGAGUGGCGAACGGGUGAGUAACACGUGAGUAACCUGCCCUUGACUUUGGGAUAACUUCAGGAAACUGGGGCUAAUACCGGAUAGGAGCUCCUGCUGCAUGGUGGGGGUUGGAAAGUUUCGGCGGUUGGGGAUGGACUCGCGGCUUAUCAGCUUGUUGGUGGGGUAGUGGCUUACCAAGGCUUUGACGGGUAGCCGGCCUGAGAGGGUGACCGGCCACGUUGGGCCUGAGAUACGGCCCAGCCUCCUAUGGGAGGCAGCAGUGGGGAAUAUUGCACAAUGGGCGGAAGCCUGAUGCAGCAACGCCGCGUGCGGGAUGACGGCCUUCGGGUUGUAAUCCGCUUUCGCCUGUGACGAAGCGUGAGUGACGGUAAUGGGUAAAGAAGCACCGGCUAACUACGUG
rnacentral:rRNA from 1 species